rnacentral:rRNA from 1 species
UACAGAGGGUGCGAGCGUUUGUUCGGAAUUACUGGGCGUAAAGCGCGCGUAGGCGGACCUGCAAGUCGGGGGUGAAAGCCCGAGGCUCAACCUCGGAACUGCCUUCGAUACUGCGGGUCUCGAGUCCGGGAGAGGUGAGUGGAAUUCCUAGUGUAGAGGUGAAAUUCGUAGAUAUUAGGAAGAACACCAGUGGCGAAGGCGGCUCUCUAGUACGGUACUGACGCUGAGACGCGAAAGCGUGGGGAGCGAACAGG